rnacentral:rRNA from 1 species
AUUGGAGGCUCGUAUGAAUGGUUGGACAAAAAGCAAACUGUCUCAAUUAUAUUUAUUGAAUUUAACUUUUAAGUGAAAAGGCUUAAAUAAAUUAAGGGGACGAUAAGACCCUAUAAAGCUUUACAAUAAGUUACCUAUAUUAUAAAUUGUUAGUAUAACUUGAGUUUAGGUAACGUUUGUUGCGUUGGGGCGACGAGAAUAUA